AACGAACGCUGGCGGCAGGCUUAACACAUGCAAGUCGAACGCAUCCUUCGGGAUGAGUGGCAGACGGGUGAGUAACGCGUGGGAAUUUACCCAGCUCUACGGAACAACUCAGGGAAACUUGAGCUAAUACCGUAUACGCCCUUUGGGGGAAAGAUUUAUCGGAGUUGGAUGAGCCCGCGUUUGAUUAGCUAGUUGGUGGGGUAAAGGCCUACCAAGGCGACGAUCAAUAGCUGGUCUGAGAGGAUGAUCAGCCACACUGGGACUGAGACACGGCCCAGACUCCUACGGGAGGCAGCAGUGGGGAAUAUUGGACAAUAGGCGAAAGCCUGAUCCAGCGACGUCACGUGAAUGAUGAAGGCCUUAGGGUUGUAAAAUUCUUUUAGUGGAGAAGAUAAUGACGGUAUCCACAGAAAAAGUCCCGGCUAACUUCGUGCCAGCCGCCGCCGUAAUAC
rnacentral:rRNA from 1 species